CCGCGUUGUGUGCUGGGAAGCGCGCGGUAUAUAUGCGGACAUGAUUACCCUCGCAACUGCUAACAGCUGAGGGUAAUCCGGACACACGUGACUUCCCAGCCAAUGACGGAACAGGGAGGAGACAUGACAAACAUAAACAAAACACACGUGUCCCAAUGUCACUACGGUCGACAGCGGAAAAGCAGGUGCUCGCGCAUUUGCGCUUAAAGCACACUGCUUCAAGGGGGAAUCGUGACAAUAUCAUAUCAUUUUGUAUUAACACUUUAUUUAUGGCCCUAAUACUCAAAUUUUCUUUAGGAGUAGGCAUAACUACUGGGGUAUGGAAGUACUUUGCUUUCUUUUGUUUUCAGUCACACACUCUCUGCUUGGUCCAUUUUUCUUCAGAGUCCUCCAAACUGUGUUUUUUUUCACAUUGAAACCUUUCUGUAAAAUUCUGUCAGGUCAUUGUCACCACGCAUAAUCCCUGACCAGAGUGGAAAAAUUGGUAAGUAGUCUUUCAUCAGAGCAUCCAAUAUCCCUGAACAAUGAUAUUUGUUUUUGUUUGUUUCUGUUUCCUCCUCAGGAUCUUCAGUAGACAUGUACACUUGAAAACUCUUUGGUAAAUGGUGACCUAGCCAAUAUUGUGUUAGCCUCUGGAGGGAUGGAGUAUCCACUGUCUGCUUCUGGAAUUUUUAUCCAACGAAUGUGGUCAUGAAGUUCUUGAAGACACUGAUUUACACAUUCUGUCUUUGCUUUUGGGUAAAAGAUAUGGCACAUGCUCUUGAAAAUGUCUAAAGCCUUCUUCAGACUUGUGGUGUUUAUUAGCUGUGCCACACAGUGAGUGGAAAACUCUUUCAAGCCCUUGCCAAUUGCUCCUUGGACUGCUUUGAUUAUAUGUGCAGAACAAAGGUGAAGGACACUUAGUCACCUAAGGUUUGUCAUGGUGACAUUUCCUUUAACUAAAUUGUAGCUUUCCAUUAGGUAGGUAUGUAUAGCUUGUUUACUGAAUGACAACAGGGCAUUGUGGAUGAGUGCCCAUCUAUAGUCGGUCUCAACCUGGUAUAUGUUGUAGACAGUGAGUUUCCGUAUCUUUAUUAUGGUCCGAUGCAACCAAAAAGAAACAUUUGGAAUUGUGUGGUCAUUUGUUAUCAUUUCAGACACAGGUAGAGGAGGCGUGUCUUGGCCAUGUCCUGGUAGAUUGAUGCUGUAGUACAGCACUCUGUUUGGCUGAUUUGGAAUUCAACUCACAACCCCACCAGUAGCAUCCAAAUGCAGGGUAGCAGGAUGUCCCUUUCUGAGAUUUUGUACCAGAAUGACAAGUCCUGUCCCAGUGUACAGAUAAACUCCAAAUGGAUCCACCUGAAGAUCUGUACAAUAGAUCCGUAUGUAUGAUAGAUCCGUGUCUUUUAUGAUUUUCUGAGUUAACAUCAGCUCCAGCAUCACAUCAUCGUGUAGUCUGCAGCUUUUAUUAAUUUCACAAGAAAUUACUUUGAGUAUGUUUUUAUUUAAACUUCUUAUGAUGUUUCCAGCUGUCAAAUCAGGAUCUGGUGUUUUUCUGAGAUUCUUGUAGUAUACAUUACUUAGUCCUUGUGACUCUUCUUUGGCAAUCUUGCCUCUCUUCUAGUGACUGUGAGUGACCUUUGAGUGCUGGUACGGAAACACCAAUGUACAGCAGAGAUUUCGUUAACGAAUUUUUCAUAUAUUAUGUGUGUCCAUAAUUUCUGUAAUUUUCUGCUACCCAGCAAAGGGUUUAACUUUUUCCAUUUUCAUGUGGAUGUGUAAAUUGUGUAAGACUUGGGUCCUGGCCUUGUGCUCCUAUAUGGCUUCAUUUGAUGACCCCAGGUGAGAGAUUCUCUGCAGACUUCUGUGCCUCGCCGCACUUGCAAUUACUGUCUGUCAGGACCUGAGGUGAGAGAUGGUCCGCAGACAUUGGUGGCAGGCCACGCUCUCCAUCACUGUCUGUCAGGACCCCAGAUGAGAGACGGUCAGCAGACUUCUGUGGCAGCCCGCGCUCUCCAUCACUGUCUGUCAGGACCUCAGGAUAUAAUCGCCCCUGAUCAUCAGAUGUUUUUAAACUAUCG
ensembl:lncRNA